rnacentral:misc_RNA from 1 species
AUUACACCACUCAAGCUCUGCUUGGUAUUAGGCCAUCGUCCUCCGAAAGGUGGGCGUGCCUCAAACACCUCGGCGGAGCUCUCCGGCUUUGGGCGUAGUAGAAUUUCUCCACGUUCAGACCCGGCAGGCCUCCUUUGCCGCUAAAAACCCAAUUUUUACAGGUUGACCUCGGAUCAGGUAGGGAUACCCGCUGAACUUAA